rnacentral:sRNA from 1 species
UGCAUAAUGGCCACGUUCUCACAGUUGU